AAAAAUGUUACUCAUCGCAUCACAUGGAUGCCUCGACUUUGCAUUCCGACGAAGGACGUGGCCAGCUACGAUAAGCUUCGGUGAGCCGCUAGGCAGGCGCUAUUAACCGGAGAUCUCCGAAUGGGGAAACCCCUGGGGAGUUAUGUCCCCAGACCCAACCUUACUUUUGAUUUCCAUAAUUUUGGGAAAGAUGUAAGACGUAAGCGAUAAGCUGUAAGAAAAUUUUUGCAGCUUGUGUCUUAUUGCUUAUGUCUUCAUGUCUGAAAGAAAUUUCCGCACCCAAUAUUUCGAAAUCAGUGGUGAGGUUGGGAGGUCACUCUGUGAACUGAAACAUCUCACGUAACAGAGGAAAAGAAAUCAUAUGAGAUUCCCUUAGUAGUGGCGAGCGAACAGGGAACAGCCCAAACCCGUCCCUCACUGCGUUCAGGACGGAAAAAAUAAGAAACAAGAAACAAGAUACAUGGAUCAUAGAUCGCCGAUCCUUUUUUGUAUCUUGGUAUUUGUUUCUUGAGUUUUCCCCGAGCAUAGCGAGGGGCGGGGGUUGUAGGACCUCGAUAUCUGACGUCUUUUGUAUAGGCAAACGUCCCUGGAACGGGCGGCCAUAGAGGGUGAGAGCCCCGUCGCCGAAAUACAGAAGCGCAGUAGAGUGUUCCUGAGUACGGUCGGACACGUGAAAUCCGGCCUGAAUCCGGGUGGACCACCAUCCAAGGCUAAAAAGAUGCAAAGAUCUAUAGCGGAUAGUACCGUGAGGGAAAGGUGAAAAGCACCCCGAAAGGGGGAUGAAAUAGUCUCUGAAAUGUGAUGCGUUCAAGGAGUCGGAGCGGGCUCCACUUUUU
rfam:Candidatus Peribacteria bacterium RIFCSPHIGHO2_01_FTLL_51_35 rifcsphigho2_01_scaffold_2375, whole genome shotgun sequence.